UGGUUCUAACGUGUUAGCAACUCAGUAAGUUUAUUAAAACGGUUUUCCAGCAUCAAAAUGUCUGGUUGUUGCGUUUGGUUGCACUAUACGUAUAUAUGUAUCUGGCCACUUUAUAUUUGGCCAUCUGCUAACGUCUUCUAUCCACUCCACUAUAGUAACGUUACAUGGGCGCAAGUACUUUUCAAACAGCUGAAGUUACGUCCAAACCCAGGCCAGUUCAUAUAAAUAUGUAAAGCUUUAAAAUGUUUGUUCAUGUUAGUGUUCAUGUUAAUCCACCUUUGCCAGUCGCGGCCGCCCCUCUGCAGGUUAAAUUCAACAAUUACUAAUACUUUAUUCAAAUCUUGUUAAGGUUAAUUAAUGCACUGAGAACUAACAUGAACUUUAUUUCUAUUAACUAACAUUAAAAAAGAUUAAUAAAUACUGUAACAAAAUGUAUUGCUCAUGGUUUGUUCAUGUUAAUACAUUAACUAAUGUUUGUUAAAACGGUUAUAUUUCCUAAUUAAACUAAGGCCUAGUCCUGGUUUAAGCUAAUCCCUUUCUGGAAAACCAUCCCUAAGACUUUCAACAAAUACAUGAACAAGUUUUUAUAAAUAAAGUAGACUAUUGUAAAGAUUUACUAUCAUAUAAACAAGUAAUUUUGGAUAAACAAACAAAUAAAUAUUAAAACAUUUGAGCCAUAAGAAUAAUUCCGAUGUAUGUAGGCCUAAUAAUGGUUAUCAGCUGUCCAUCUUGACAUCAGAGGUGGGUAGUAUCGAACUACAUUUACUUUGUUGCAUUUACUUGAGUAAAUAUUUUUAGUAACUGGUACUGUCACGAUCGGUAUAAUACCGGAAAGUGGAAAACAAAGGAUGAACCAAACGCAAGAGAUGUAAGAAAAUAUAACUAUGUAUUUUAAUAAAACAGAACAAAACAAACCCACGUGGGGGUAAAACAGAGGAUGAAAUAAUACUGUGAUGGAACACAAAACACUAGAACAGAACUCAGGCACACGGAGAACAUGAACACUGAAAUUCAACAACGCACGCACACCACACAGAGGACACGAGGGCAUAAAAUAGACAGCACAUCAAUGGGGAACAGGUGAACAUAAUUAAUCACGUAAUGCUGCGUUCCAGGCAGGUUUUUAAACCCGUGAGUUACGACUUCAAAACCACGACUUACGACCCUAUGCGUUCCAGGCAGCCUGUAACUCGUGUUUUUACAACCUUCUACCGGUGAAAGUGCACUGGAACGGCAGUCAAACCCGUGACUUCCCACUCGUGAACUCGUACUAGAUCGAUGUACUCCCAGUUCAGAGUCGUGACUCGUGGUUUUGAAGUCGUGAGUUACGGGUUACAGGUUGCCUGGAACGCAGCAUAAGACACGAGUACAUAAGGGAGUAGGGUAAACGUGACGAGACACUGGGACAUGAUGUGAAAACACACGUGUUCCCACGUAAACACAAUGCUGCCAUGGCCUUGCCCUCUAACAUCCAACCUGGAUAAUAACCAAGGUCAGGCAAGACCAUGACAGCCACAAAACACUGGGAACACAUGGAAGCCACACAACUAUAUGCCUCCACAUGCUCCCACACAGAACAUAGUACUGUCAUGGUCUUGCCAGAUACACUCAGACCUGAGUCUAGUACAAAAGAUCUGGCAAGCCCAUGACAGGUACUUUCAGAGUAUAUAUAAAGAUGGAUAAUUUUACUUAAGUACAUUUCUAGUGUAAAAACUGUACUUUUAUUCUGCUACUGUCAAAUGAUAAUAAUUAAUAAAUAUCAAUAUAGCCACCUGAGUCCCAGCAAUUCAUUUUUGUCUUCAGUAGUGAACAUGAGUUUCAGACCUUUAAGUCAAGCUCAGUUUGUUCAAACUAUUUCAAUCAUACUGUUCGGUCAAGAGGACAUCCUAUUGGGUCUUAUGGGGAAACAAACUUUCUUUUCAAAAUAACGACAUUUGUGAUUUUCAAAUGUUAUGGCAACAAGGGAACUAAGUAAUACUUUUCUGCAGAAUAUAUAUUUGAUAAUUAUCUUUUUUUUUCAAAAUGUGAGUCUAGACUUAAAAUUUAGCAGUAUUUAGAAAAUGUAGGCUACAAACAUAAACUAUAUAGACAUAAUAUAGACAUAAAUAUUGUGAGGCAUCCUUCUUAAAAAACGGUUUAAAUACUUGAAUAAAGCCCAGACCUCAACUCAGCUGAAUUGAAACCUCAAAGGUUUUUAACCAAACACUCAUCACCUAAAUCUAUCAAUGAUUUGCACAGAGACGUACUGUAUAAUCAUUUCGGAACUUAAAAAUGCACUUCCAAAACUGUUGCAACAAAAAUCAAAAAGACUCUUUGAAGUAUAUGGUAUAGCAUUUAUAUUAGUUUUUAAAGAAUUACUGGAAUAGAUAAACAUGUUAAUUAGAAGGAGACGCCCCAAUACUUGUCUAGUGUAUUUGCCACAGACAGUGUACCGCAAGCCCUAAAGUGUGCUUCUUUGUAGAUGUGACCGAUCCAUAAUUUCCAGCUCCAGUGAGCAUCCCUAAUCCAGACCCUCAUGCAGAUGGUUGGAGUUUUGAUUCAUCUAAAGUAACAUACAAGAGCACUCAUUUUCACUCUUGAGCAUGGUGUGACCUGCAAGGUCGAAUGCAGUUAUCUAAACAACCAUCGCUGGAUGUUGAACAUGGAAGGUCAGGUUGUGUGUGAAAGAGAGCAGCCCAACUUUAUCUCUGAUCUUGAAGCGCUGAUUGCCUCAUUCUACAAUUUUAACCUCCAGUAUCAGGAAGAGUUGGCAUACACCUUUGAGUUUGUUCAGAGGUUUGCCAUUCAUAUGUUUUUUACAUUUAUAUUUAUUCACAAAGGUUAAAUACAGUUUAUUGAUAACUUAUCACAUAUUUUACAUCAUCAACGUCUUCAAUAAACACAUUAAAUGGGUCACUUAUAUAUAGUUACCAAGGUUUGGAUUGAAUCCCCACAAUGCUUUUUUGUGAAAAGCUGAAUUUGCUCUACAUAAGCUGGGUGUCUAAAGAAGACAAUAUCAUUAAAAACUGGGUGAUGUAUGAAAAUAAAAUCACACCUAAAACAUUUGCAUGUGCAGGAUACAAUUUGCGAGAGUGUACAUGACAUUACAAGUGUAAAAAGGUGUAAAUUAAGUUGCAAGCAGAAGUUUUGCAACAUUGUACAGUGUAAUCGUAAGUGUGGGUCAUGUCUUGUAAAACUGAAACUUUAUUUUAAAGCUAAAUAAGUAUGAACUGUAUUCAUCUGACCUCAUCUUAAUCUAAUAUAAAAUAUUUAGGACACAUUUAGUUGUGAUAUAGUUGUGAUCCAGUGCACAAUAAAGAUCAGAUUUUUUUCUACAAAUUCUGAUUUGGGCAUUAACAACAUGAAGUAAAAAAGGCAUUUUGGAUUUAUAUUUUGAUAUACUAUGCUUAAUAAUUGUUUAAUGUGGGUUGCAGCCCUAACAUUCAGAUUUCCGUUUUGACUAGAACGUUUUUUUUUAACAGACCAUUGAUCUUCCCCAGUUACUUCUGUUUACACCAAAUAAUACAAUUAAAUUGCACAAUUAAUGAAUAAAUAUUUAAUAAUUACUGUGUAAGUAAGAAGACAACAUCCAAAAGUUCAUCAAACUUUUAUUUUUAAUAUGCAGCCUUGGCUGAGCACCUGAAAGUAUACACAAGUUUGUUAUUUUUUUAUAGCAGAAUAUAGUUUAAGGUGGAAAGUUUGGUUUGUUUGCAAGUUUUGUCAGUGAAAUGCAAUGUAUUUUGUGUUAAAAUAAAUAAAAGUGACAACACAAGUUGUGUAAAAGUAACACGAAGUGUGUUGUUCCAAUAAUAACACUAAUUGUGUUGUGUUUAACACAUUCGUUUUUUAGAGUGUAGACAUCAAAAUAAUAGUAAUUUUUGUUUUUUGUAUUUUUCCCUCCUGGCUUUCAUUUUUUUCCUUCUUUUUUUUUGCAUAAUUUUAAAAUAAAUAUUUUAAAACCUUUCCAUUCUUUGAAAGUUAUAAGAGCAUUGUUUAUGUUCUGAUAAUUCUUAAAGGAACAGUAUGUAGGAUUCUGGCCAAAACUGGUAUUGCAAUCACAAAACUUGUGGCUAAAACUGGUACUGCAAUCACCCAACUGGUGGCCAAUACACAAAAUGACAACAUAAACAUCAGUUGAGGGCUGCAACUCCACUUUUUAAAUGACAAUAUCCUGUCCAGACCACUGUUGUCAGUGUUAUAAGUAUUUGAAAUGAAAAUGUUUUGUUAAUGUCUAGUGACAUAUCAGAGCUAUUUUAUGAUUAAUUGAUAUAAAUUUCUUACAUACUGUUCCUUGAACUGUUCUGUUAACUGUCAAGUGCAUUUAUUUCAUACAGCAGACAUUUCAGCCAACAUGUUUAUAUAAGGCAGUUUUAUGGUU